UCGAGUGUUGGUCACCGGUCAACGUGUUAAAAUAAACCAUCAACAUGUUAAAAUAAACUUCGGCAGUCAACAUGCAACAUGUUAACAUAAACCGGCAGUCAACAUGUUAAAAUAAACCAUCACAAGAAAAACCAAAAAACAGUAUAAAAGAACAAGAAAGGCGGGGAAUCCAACCAACUUCAACAUAAUAUCGUCAAGAGGAGGAUCAUUUUGAGGAAUCUCAAUUUGAGUCACUAUGCAAAGAUAGUUAAAAAACUAAGAAAAACUGCAGUACCAACACUCUUUAGCAUUCCAAAUCCACCACCAUCUGUAACUGACAAGAGGAUAAGAGAAGUAAGAUGUCCUAAGCCAAAUACUGAAGUGGAAACUCUACCUGCUUCAAAUGAAGAGUUGUUAAAAAAAA